UGCAAGUCGAACGAUGAAGGCGGGAGCUUGCUCCUGCUGGAUUAGUGGCGAACGGGUGAGUAACACGUGAGUAACCUGCCCUUGACUCUGGGAUAAGCGUUGGAAACGACGUCUAAUACCGGAUACGAGCUAGGACCGCAUGGUCACUAGCUGGAAAGAACUUCGGUCAAGGAUGGACUCGCGGCCUAUCAGCUAGUUGGUGAGGUAAUGGCCCACCAAGGCGACGACGGGUAGCCGGCCUGAGAGGGUGACCGGCCACACUGGGACUGAGACACGGCCCAGACUCCUACGGGAGGCAGCAGUGGGGAAUAUUGCACAAUGGGCGCAAGCCUGAUGCAGCAACGCCGCGUGAGGGACGACGGCCUUCGGGUUGUAAACCUCUUUUAGCAGGGAAGAAGCGAAAGUGACGGUACCUGCAGAAAAAGCACCGGCUAACUACGUGCCAGCAGCCGCGGUAAUACGUAGGGUGCAAGCGUUGUCCGGAAUUAUUGGGCGUAAAGAGCUCGUAGGCGGUUUGUCGCGUCUGCUGUGAAAAUCCGAGGCUCAACCUCGGACCUGCAGUGGGUACGGGCAAACUAGAGUGCGGUAGGGGAGAUUGGAAUUCCUGGUGUAGCGGUGGAAUGCGCAGAUAUCAGGAGGAACACCAAUGGCGAAGGCAGAUCUCUGGGCCGUAACUGACGCUGAGGAGCGAAAGCGUGGGGAGCGAACAGGAUUAGAUACCCUGGUAGUCCACGCCGUAAACGGUGGGAACUAGAUGUGGGGUCCGUUCCACGGAUUCCGUGUCGCAGCUAACGCAUUAAGUUCCCCGCCUGGGGAGUACGGCCGCAAGGCUAAACUCAAAGGAAUUGACGGGGGCCCGCACAAG
rnacentral:rRNA from 1 species